rnacentral:rRNA from 1 species
CGCAGGCGUAGGAAAUUUGAGAAGACCUGUCCUUAGUACGAGAGGACCGGGAUGGACGUACCUCUGGUGUACCAGUUGUCCUGCCAAGGGCAUGGCUGGGUAGCUAUGUACGGAAUGGAUAAGCGCUGAAAGCAUCUAAGCGCGAAGCCAACUUCAAGAUAAGAUUUCCCACCGCAAGGGUAAGACUCCAGAAAGACUAUCUGGUUGAUAGGUCGAAGGUGUAAGUGCAGCAAUGUAUUUAGCUUAUCGAUACUAAUAGGUCGAGGACUUGACCAAU